rnacentral:lncRNA from 1 species
UUGGAUCUUGUCCUGACCUGCACUUGCCAUUAGGUAAACUGCACCACAGCAUCUUCUCAGUGCGUGCAAAUGAAUGAAAGCUAUAGAAAUUUCCUUGAGGUCAAAGCCUCCACCCUCUAUAUGCUGUAUUUAACCCGAGGAUUUCUCCCAACAGAAGACUGAUUGAUGCAAUAUUUGUUUUAUUGCUUUUGGUAAUUUCACAAGUGAACUUAGCCCAUGUGUCAAUUUUCAAGUGGACUAGUUUUUCUUAAUAUAUUAAAUAUACUACACUAAAAAUGUCAGAAUUGUAGGUAGUAAGCAAAAUAAAACAUAUAGGAAUACAGUGAAGAACACAGACCCUGAAGCCACAUUGAUAGGAUCCAGAUCCUGGUUCUAGCAUUUACUUAUUGUGAACAGUUGUUCGGUUUUACUUCUUUGUCCUUUGAUUUCAUUAUUUGCCAAGUAAACAUAAUACCACACCUGAAAUUACUGCUUUCAGGGUUAAAUGAGUGAAUUUAUCUAAGCCACUCAGAACAUUGCUUUAUACAUAUGAUAACUAGGAUUAUUUUGUUGUUAGUACAAAAACACAGGUGAUACCUUGCUUAGUAUGCUUUGUAGAAAAAAUGUUCUUUAAGUUUUUCUUUAAGUUUCAGAGCUCCUUAUUGUAAGCCAGAAACAAGCUUAUGGUACUCGUUUUUUUUUUUAUUUUAUUUUAUUAUUAAUUUCUUUUUCUUUUUUUUUCACACUUCAGAUUUUAUUCCCCCCCCAGUCCACCUCCUACUGUCCACAUCUCAUACCUCCUCCCUGCUGCCUGUCUCCACAAGGAUGUUCCCCCACACCAGACCUCUAAACUCCCUGGAGCCUCCAGUCUCUGACUGAACCCAGACCUGACAGUCCCCUGCUAUAUGUGUGUUGGGGGCCUCAUAUCAGCUGGUGUAUGCUGUCUGGAUGGUGGUCCAGUGUCUGAGAGAUCUCAGGGGUUCAGGUUAUUUGAGAUUGCUGGUCCUCCUGCAGGGUUGCCCUUCUCCUCAGCUUCUUCCAACUUUUCCCUAAUUCAACCUCAGGGCUCAACAACUUUUGCCCAUUUGUUGUGUGCAAAUAUCUGCAUCUGACUUUUUCAGCUGCUUGUUGGAUCUUUCAGAGAGCAGUCAUACUAGGUCCCUUUUUGUGAGUGCUCCAUAGGCUCAGUAAUAGUGUCAGGCCUUGGGGCCUCCCCUUGAGCUGGAUCCCACUUUGGACCAGUCACUGGACCUUCUUUUCCUCAGGCUUCUCUCCAUUUCCAUCCCUGAAGUUCUUUCAGAGAAGAACAAUUAUGGGUCAGAGUUUUGACAGCAACCCUAUUCCUCACUUGAUGCCCUGUCUUUCUGCUGGAGGUGGACUCUACAAGUUCCCUUUUACUGUACUUUUUUUUUUCCAAAUAUUUUUAUUGGAUAUGGUCUUUAUUUACAUUUCUAAUGUUCUCCCCUUUCCAGGUUUACCCCCUGGAAAUCCCCUAUCCCAUCCCUCCUCCCCUCCUUCUAUGAGGGUGCUCCCCACCACUCCUGCCUCCCUGCCCUCUCAUUCCCCUACACUGGGGCACUAAACCUUCACAGGACCAAGGGCCUCUUCUCCCAUUGAUGCCCAACAAGGCCAUCCUCUUCUAUGCAGCUGAAGCCGUGCGUCCCUUCAUAUGUACCCCAUGAUUGGUCGUUUAGUCCCUGGGAGCUCUGCGGAGGGGCUCUGAUUGGUUGAUAUUGUUGUUCUUAUGGAGUUGCAAAGCCCUUCAGCGCCUUCAGUCCUUUCUUGAGCUCCUCCAUUGGGGACCCUGUGCUCAGUCCAAUGGUUGGCUGCGAGCAUCUGCCUCUGUAUUUGCCAGGCUCUGGCAGAUCCUCUCAGGAGAUAGCUAUAUAAGGCUCCUGUCAGCAAGCCCUUAUUUGCAUCCACAGUAGUGUCUGUGUUUGGUGACUGUAAAUGGGAUGGAUCCCCAGGUGGGGCAGUCUCUGGAUAACCUUUCCUUCAGUCUCUGUUCCACACUUUGUCUCUCUAUUUUCUCCAGUGAUUAUUUUGUUUCCCCUUCUAAGAAGGAUCUAAAUGCUGCUAAAUAAAUUGAUUUGGAAUUUUUUUUCUGUUUUUUUUUUUUUUUUUUUUUGAGGCAGGGUUUUUCUUUAUAGCCCUGGCUUUCCUGGAACUUACUCUGUAGACCAGGCAGGCCUUGAACUCAGAAAUCUGCCUGCCUCUGCCUCCCAAGUGCUGGGAUUAAAGGCGUGAGCCACCACUGUACAGCUGAUUUGUUCUUUUUCUAUGAUUAAUUUUAAUAUCAUACAGAUACUAAUGGACUUAUGACCUCAUCACUGAGUCUACUGUAAUCUUUGGAAGGCUGGUGGAAGCUAGAGAUAUUGGGAUAAUACUGAUAGCUGUUGAAUGUGAGAUCUGAAGAGAAACUGAGGAUAUGUGUGGUGGCUACUGGAAGUGGGGUAGUAUGUUGUAUAUUUUGACCCUUUAUUGGAAGAUAAUGCAUAUGCCCUAAAGCCCUUUCAACUACUCAACUCCAAUACUAAUUCCUGUUCCAACUCUUAACACUAUAGAUUAGCUUUGCUUUUGUCUUUUGUUUAGGUAUCAUGACCCAGUGUGAUCUUUUAAAAGUUAGGCUUUUGUCUUGAUUAUUAUGUACAUGAGUUUGGUUUUUAGACUCAAUAUUUCACAUGCAGAGAGUCUUCUCUAUCAUUUGUAUAUAGUUACCUGUCAUUCAUUUAUGUCCUUCACAUUAUUUCAUUGUGUAAAAAUAAAAUAUAUUUUUCAUUUUAUUACUAGUCAUUUUAUAGCUUCCACUUUGGGACGACUAUGUGUUGCUCUAAACAUCCUGGUACAUUUAUUAUUCAGCACAUAUACGUGUGUGUCUUUAUUGGUAACAUACUCACAAAUGAAGUUGCUGAGUCAUAAGGCACAUUACUUUUCAGCUUUAGUAUGCAUUUUUUAACUUCUAGAGGUGAUUCUGAUUCAUAGCCAAGUCAGAGAAUCUCUAUUCGACAUAUCUACUCAAAGUGAAGGUUUAAAGCUACACUGUCAAAGCCUGGAUGAGCUCAUUAAAGACAUAAUAUUUAAGUAGAUGAGCUACAGGGAUCAUCCACACUGCCUCACAGAUAAUGUCAGUAUUUAUUGCUUCAAUAGUUAGCUUGCUUUCUGCACAGAGGUUGGGGUGCGUGGGUUAGUGGCUCUCUCAUUUUCUUUUCUCCCUUGAUUUGACCCUGAUUUCUCUCAGGUUCAGCAAAGUAGAAUGCCAACCAAGAACUGGGACUGAGGGAAAGUGUUGCCAAGUACUGUUAAUUAUUAAUGAAGUGAAUUUGCAUCAAACCAGAGGGGAUUAAAGUGGCUUAAGAUGAAUAGCAAGCUCUUGAUAAGGCUUUUCCUAUUCUCAGGUGACUAGAAUGAUGUGCUCAUAUAGGAGCACAUUAAUUUAAUAGAAGCACUGCUCCCCCUGGUACAGCUCAGAGCUGGAUGUGAGCCCAGCUCAAGGAUAGCAGGAUCCAAAGCAAUUUCUGUGUAUGUGGCCAUAGUGAACUGAAGUGAUGAGAGUAUAACAUGCCUGGCUGAAAAAUGCUUUAACCAUACCUCAGAGUCAAAUAUCUCUCAUGACAUGUCCAAAAAGUAGUAGCAAUAGCAAGGGACCUGCUAUAUAGGCAGACUUCACCUCACCUGAAAGCCCAGCGCUUCUUUCCUUGUUGAAACACUUAAUCUCCUACAGCCUUGGAUUCGUUCACUUAUAGGAUAGGAUAAUCAUACAGGCCUCAAGGAAUUAAGUGUACAUACUCGGAGUCAGCACCCAGUAAACAGCAGGUAUGGCACAUGAUACUGUGAGACUGCUGAGAACAUACCUAUGUGGUAGAAAAUAGUAAUGGAGAGAAAGUGAUGCUCCGAAGCUAGUCUUCCAACAGAUGGCAGGCCCAUAUUGAAAAUGGAAAUGUUUCCUGCUGCUACAGAUCCAAAGAGCUUUGAAUCUGUGUAAACUUGAAAGGGAGAAAAAG